AACGAACGUUGGCGGCGUGCUUAAUACAUGCAAGUCGUACGAGAAAGUUGGACUUCGGUCCUUCGAGUAAAGUGGCGAACGGGUGAGUAACACGUGGAUAACUUGCCCCUGAAUCUGGGAUAAUCAACCGAAAGGUCGUCUUAAUACCGGAUAAUAUUAUUUGUGGGCAUCUUCAAAUAAUCAAAGGUGGUUUCGGCUACCGAUCAGGGAUAGGUCCGCGGUUCAUUAGCUUGUUGGUGGGGUAAUGGCCUACCAAGGCGACGAUGAAUAGCCGGCUUGAGAGAGUGAACGGCCACACUGGGACUGAGAUACGGCCCAGACUCCUACGGGAGGCAGCAGUAGGGAAUAUUGCGCAAUGGACGAAAGUCUGACGCAGCAACGCCGCGUGGGUGAUGACGCAUCUUGGUGUGUAAAACCCUGUCAGCGGGGAAGAACCGUAUAGGUAGUAACUGACUCUAUGCCUGACGUACCCGCAGAGGAAGUCACCGCUAACU
rnacentral:rRNA from 1 species